UGUAAUAACUAUCUCUAUCUCAUAAUAUAAAUCCUGCAAUCCUUUCAAACUCCCACAACAUUCAUUCUCUCUGGUUUCUCCUGCUGGUAAUAACAAUCUCUCUCUCUCUCUCUCAAAGGUUAUUUGCCUUCUUCUCUCUUCGACUUCAUGUAAGAAGUUUUGAAAGAGUUGCCAAAAGGACCUUCGCCUUCCUCUCCUUUCGCAAUGAGAUCUAAAAAUUCUCGUGAAGAAGAGUUUUGAAUGAGUUGCUAAAGAAUCUUGAUCGAGCUUCUUCACCUUCUUUGUUUUUUAUAAUUCUCAAUCUUGCAACCCAACAUCCCUGCUGCCAACACUCUUCCCUCUCACAUGAACUCAAUGGUGGCUUUCCCUCCUCCUUGAAGGCAUGUCCUUAGAGGAUGUACUACGAGGAGGUUAAAGAAAGGAGAUCAAUAGAGGAGCCAAAAGAUGAAGAUCAAGAUGAAAAAAUGCAUUAUUUUUAAGACUUGCAUCGUUCUGUAGAAUUAGAAUUUAUGUUAUUGUUGAUGGAGCUUGAUCACCAUUACUUUCUGCAGACCCUGAGUUGUAUAUUAUAUGACACUUACCAUGGACUUUUGUAUACUCUUUUUACUAUGAUUAAUUUUUUAUUAAUGUAUUUACUUUGCUUGUAUAAUAGUAAUAUCAUGUUUUUAUA